rnacentral:rRNA from 1 species
UACGUAGGUGGCAAGCGUUGUCCGGAUUUAUUGGGUUUAAAGGGUGCGUAGGCGGCUUUGUAAGUCAGUGGUGAAAUAUGGCAGCUCAACUGUCAGGGUGCCAUUGAUACUGCAGAGCUUGAGUACAGAUGAGGUAGGCGGAAUUGACGGUGUAGCGGUGAAAUGCGUAGAUAUCGGAAGGAACAUCAGUGGCGAAAGCGACUUCCUGGACCAGUACCGACGUCAGGCACGAAAGCGUGGGGAGCAACAGGA